rnacentral:rRNA from 1 species
UACGUAGGUGGCAAGCGUUAUCCGGAAUUAUUGGGCGUAAAGAGCGCGCAGGUGGUUGAUUAAGUCUGAUGUGAAAGCCCACGGCUUAACCGUGGAGGGUCAUUGGAAACUGGUCAACUUGAGUGCAGAAGAGGGAAGUGGAAUUCCAUGUGUAGCGGUGAAAUGCGUAGAGAUAUGGAGGAACACCAGUGGCGAAGGCGGCUUCCUGGUCUGUAACUGACACUGAGGCGCGAAAGCGUGGGGAGCAAACAGGAUUAGAUAU